rnacentral:tRNA from 1 species
GCCGGGGUGGCGAAACUGGCAGACGCACGGGACUUAAAAUCCCGGGAAGGCAACCCCUUCGUGCGGGUUCGAUUCCCGCCCCCGGCACCA